UGCAGACAUGGAAAUGACCAUCAUGAA
rnacentral:piRNA from 1 species